AUCCAGCAGCGAUGAUGACUCCACCGCCAAAGAUCAGCAGCGCACACGUUUCCAAGGAGGCAAGGUUGCUUCUGCUGCUACCGCCAGACGUGGUUCUCGAGGAGAUGAUGAUGCCGCUUGGGACGGCGGAGAGCUCGGUUGCUGGAAGCAUGUCGACGAGGCUGAACUUGCUACGAGUGUGACUCAGAGAGCGAUCUUGAUCAUCAGAAACACACUCAUUACGACUUGACGAAGAUAAGCUUUUCCUCAAUAAUAAGUCUAUUAUUAUUCCUCUUGUCUGCCAUCUGCUAAAUGAGAAAAGAAAAAGUGACAGCAAUAAAAGAAGAUGAUAGCUGUGAUGCUCAUCAGAGACUACGAAGGCUGCCAAACUAUUACUUCAAAUAGUGGUGCCAAAAAAUGGAUUAUUUUCUCGGCACCAAGUCCACAAACA
rnacentral:lncRNA from 1 species